rnacentral:rRNA from 1 species
GGGGAAUAUUGCACAAUGGGCGCAAGCCUGAUGCAGCGACGCCGCGUGCGGGAUGACGGCCUUCGGGUUGUAAACCGCUUUUGAUCGGGAGCAAGCCUUCGGGUGAGUGUACCUUUCGAAUAAGCACCGGCUAACUACGUGCCAGCAGCCGCGGUAAUACGUAGGGUGCAAGCGUUAUCCGGAAUUAUUGGGCGUAAAGGGCUCGUAGGCGGUUCGUCGCGUCCGGUGUGAAAGUCCAUCGCUUAACGGUGGAUCUGCGCCGGGUACGGGCGGGCUGGAGUGCGGUAGGGGAGACUGGAAUUCCCGGUGUAACGGUGGAAUGUGUAGAUAUCGGGAAGAACACCAAUGGCGAAGGCAGGUCUCUGGGCCGUUACUGACGCUGAGGAGCGAAAGCGUGGGGAGCGAACAGGAUUAGAUACCCUGGUAGUCCACGCCGUAAACGGUGGAUGCUGGAUGUGGGGCCCGUUCCACGGGUUCCGUGUCGGAGCUAACGCGUUAAGCAUCCCGCCUGGGGAGUACGGCCGCAAGGCUAAAACUCAAAGAAAUUGACGGGGGCCCGCACAAGCGGCGGAGCAUGCGGAUUAAUUCGAUGCAACGCGAAGAACCUUACCUGGGCUUGACAUGUUCCCGACAGCCGUAGAGAUGCGGCCUCCCUUCGGGGCGGGUUCACAGGUGGUGCAUGGUCGUCGUCAGCUCGUGUCGUGAGAUGUUGGGUUAAGUCCCGCAACGAGCGCAACCCUCGCCCUGUGUUGCCAGCACGUCGUGGUGGGAACUCACGGGGGACCGCCGGGGUCAACUCGGAGGAAGGUGGGGAUGACGUCAGAUCAUCAUGCCCCUUACGUCCAGGGCUUCACGCAUGCUACAAUGGCCGGUACAACGGGAUGCGACACGGCGACGUGGAGCGGAUCCCUGAAAACCGGUCUCAGUUCGGAUUGGAGUCUGCAACCCGACUCCAUGAAGGCGGAGUCGCUAGUAAUCGCGGAUCAGCAACGCCGCGGUGAAUGCGUUCCCG